AACAGUGGCUUGCCACUGGGUUCCUCGAGCGUCGCUCGGCCGUUGCACUACAGGCUGAGCCAGGCGCGCCCCAA
rnacentral:snRNA from 1 species